rnacentral:rRNA from 1 species
AUUCCAGCUCCAAUAGCGUAUACUAAAGUUGUUGCAGUUAAAAAGCUCGUAGUUGAAUUUCUGGUCUUGGACGGCGGUCUACCACAAUUGUGGUACGUACCAACUGUCCGAGUCCAUCCUCGGGGAAAACAUGCCUGUGAUUCAGUUCAUGGGUAUGGGAUCCUCGUCAUUUACUGUGAGCAAAAUAGAGUGUUCAAAGCAGGCUUAUGCCGUUGAAUACAUUAGCAUGGAAUAAUAAGAUAGGACCUUGGUCUAUUUUGUUGGUUUGUACUCCAAGGUAAUGAUUAAUAGGGAUAGUUGGGGGUAUUCGUAUUCAAUUGUCAGAGGUGAAAUUCUUGGAUUUAUGGAAGACGAACUACUGCGAAAGCAUUUACCAAGGAUGUUUUCAUUG